rnacentral:rRNA from 1 species
UACGUAGGGUGCGAGCGUUAAUCGGAAUUACUGGGCGUAAAGCGUGCGCAGGCGGUUUUGUAAGCCAGAUGUGAAAUCCCCGGGCUUAACCUGGGAAUGGCAUUUGGGGACUGCAAGGCUGGAGUGUGGCAGAGGAGACUGGAAUUCCCGGUGUAGCAGUGAAAUGCGUAGAUAUCGGGAGGAAUACCGAUGGCGAAGGCAGCUUGCUGGGACGGUACUGACGCUGAGGCGCGAAAGCGUGGGGAGCAAACAGG